rnacentral:rRNA from 1 species
GCAAGUCGAACGCGUUGGCCCAAUUGAUUGAUGGUGCUUGCACCUGAUUGAUUUUGGUCGCCAACGAGUGGCGGACGGGUGAGUAACACGUAGGUAACCUGCCCAGAAGCGGGGGACAACAUUUGGAAACAGAUGCUAAUACCGCAUAACAGCGUUGUUCGCAUGAACAACGCUUAAAAGAUGGCUUCUCGCUAUCACUUCUGGAUGGACCUGCGGUGCAUUAGCUUGUUGGUGGGGUAACGGCCUACCAAGGCGAUGAUGCAUAGCCGAGUUGAGAGACUGAUCGGCCACAAUGGGACUGAGACACGGCCCAUACUCCUACGGGAGGCAGCAGUAGGGAAUCUUCCACAAUGGGCGCAAGCCUGAUGGAGCAACACCGCGUGAGUGAAGAAGGGUUUCGGCUCGUAAAGCUCUGUUGUUAAAGAAGAACACGUAUGAGAGUAACUGUUCAUACGUUGACGGUAUUUAACCAGAAAGUCACGGCUAACUACGUGCCAGCAGCCGCGGUAAUACGUAGGUGGCAAGCGUUAUCCGGAUUUAUUGGGCGUAAAGAGAGUGCAGGCGGUUUUCUAAGUCUGAUGUGAAAGCYUUCGGCUUAACCGGAGAAGUGCAUCGGAAACUGGAUAACUUGAGUGCAGAAGAGGGUAGUGGAACUCCAUGUGUAGCGGUGGAAUGCGUAGAUAUAUGGAAGAACACCAGUGGCGAAGGCGGCUACCUGGUCUGCAACUGACGCUGAGACUCGAAAGCAUGGGUAGCGAACAGGAUUAGAUACCCUGGUAGUCCAUGCCGUAAACGAUGAGUGCUAGGUGUUGGAGGGUUUCCGCCCUUCAGUGCCGGAGCUAACGCAUUAAGCACUCCGCCUGGGGAGUACGACCGCAAGGUUGAAACUCAAAGGAAUUGACGGGGGCCCGCACAAGCGGUGGAGCAUGUGGUUUAAUUCGAAGCUACGCGAAGAACCUUACCAGGUCUUGACAUCUUGCGCCAACCCUAGAGAUAGGGCGUUUCCUUCGGGAACGCAAUGACAGGUGGUGCAUGGUCGUCGUCAGCUCGUGUCGUGAGAUGUUGGGUUAAGUCCCGCAACGAGCGCAACCCUUGUUACUAGUUGCCAGCAUUAAGUUGGGCACUCUAGUGAGACUGCCGGUGACAAACCGGAGGAAGGUGGGGACGACGUCAGAUCAUCAUGCCCCUUAUGACCUGGGCUACACACGUGCUACAAUGGACGGUACAACGAGUCGCGAACUCGCGAGGGCAAGCAAAUCUCUUAAAACCGUUCUCAGUUCGGACUGCAGGCUGCAACUCGCCUGCACGAAGUCGGAAUCGCUAGUAAUCGCGGAUCAGCAUGCCGCGGUGAAUACGUUCCCGGGCCUUGUACACACCGCCCGUCACACCAUGAGAGUUUGUAACACCCAAAGUCGGUGGGGUAACCUUUUAGGAGCCAGCCGCCUAAGGUGGGACAGAUGAUUAGGGUGAAGUCG